rnacentral:rRNA from 1 species
UACGUAGGGUGCAGGCGUUAAUCGGAAUUACUGGGCGUAAAGCGUGCGCAGGCGGUUUGCUAAGACAGGUGUGAAAUCCCCGGGCUUAACCUGGGAACUGCGCUUGUAACUGGCAAGCUAGAGUGUGGCAGAGGGGGGUGGAAUUCCACGUGUAGCAGUGAAAUGCGUAGAGAUGUGGAGGAACACCGAUGGCGAAGGCAGCUCCCUGGGCUAACACUGACGCUCAUGCACGAAAGCGUGGGGAGCAAACAGG